rnacentral:snoRNA from 1 species
GCCUGGGCUGCAGUUAGAUCCUACCUCAAAAACAAGACAACAACAACUUACUCCAGGGAGAGGAGGCUGAAAGCAUUUCCCGGUGUUUGGAAGGUCUACUCCUGUCUGUGCCAGACUCUGGUGUUUUCAUACA